GAUGAACGCUGGCGGCGUGCCUAAUACAUGCAAGUCGAACGAAACUUCUUUAUCACCGAGUGCUUGCACUCACCGAUAAAGAGUUGAGUGGCGAACGGGUGAGUAACACGUGGGCAACCUGCCCAAAAGAGGGGGAUAACACUUGGAAACAGGUGCUAAUACCGCAUAACCAUAGUUACCGCAUGGUAACUAUGUAAAAGGUGGCUAUACUACCGCUUUUGGAUGGGCCCGCGGCGCAUUAGCUGGUUGGUAGGGUAAAGGCUUACCAAGGCAAUGAUGCGUAGCCGAAUUGAGAGGUUGAUCGGCCACAUUGGGACUGAGACACGGCCCAAACUCCUGCGGGAGGCAGCAGUAGGGAAUCUUCCACAAAGGGCGAAAGCCUGAUGGAGCAACGCCGCGUGGGUGAAGAAGGUCUUCGGAUCGUAAAACCCUGUUGUUAGAGAAGAAAGUGCGUGAGAGUAACUGUUCACGUUUCGACGGUAUCUAACCAGAAAGCCACGGCUAACUACGUG
rnacentral:rRNA from 1 species